GUGGUGUUGACGGCCUCUAAACGAACGCCUGUGGGUCCAGCUCUGAGGAGGCUGCCCCGGGAUCGCCCUGCCCUGGGGAGACACUGGCCCCGUGCUCAGUGUCUUGAGUAGUCUGGGGCGUCGUCAGCCUCCUGGCCACAGGCUUGGUGUGGCGCCCUGGCCCCUGCCGGCCUCGGGAACCUGAUAGAGUCCCCAAGGACCGUCCGGGAAGGAGAGGGGGUGCCGCUCUUCUGGUCGGGGGUGCUGUACGUAGCCAGGGAGCAGCCUUGCGGGGAGGUGAGAUCGAGAUCGCAGCACGGCCCUGCCCCGGCCCCCGCCCUUCCCCCACUGGCGUUCUUGCCCUAUCCAGCCAGUGUGAGAAGGAGAAAAAAGCCUCGCUGUGAAGGGGCCUGACCGGCCCCGCUUCCUCCUGUGGGCGCUUGGCUUCCAAGCUCUUGUUUUCUUUCUUAACAUGAAAACAAAUUUAGGAACAGACCCCGUCUGUGUCCCGCAGGCAUUUCAAACCCACUUGUGCGCUCAUAAUUGCAUGAGGAACUACCUGGGGUGACCUGGACGUCUGAGUUCCCCACCUGGAAAGGAAGCUGGGUGUUUGGUGGCGGGGGCACGUUCCGAAGCUCCCGGAGCAAACUCAGGCACUUGGGGUGCUUCCCCGCCUUUGGGCUCAGCUGGAUGGAAGGACAUUAGCACGGCCCAUGCACCCAGUAUAGUCAGGGGGGCUCCAGGCUGACCCGACCUCCCCACACCCUGCGGAAUAGAGGAAUGAAGCAGACAGGUGCAGCUGUAGAGAGCAUGGACCGAAGCUGGGCCUGAUUGGGAGGAACCGGGCCGGUCAGGGCCUUGGCCGCAGGUCUGAGGUCUCCACCGGCAGCUGGUAGCUGGAUGCAGACCUUGGAGAGCAGGGCAGGGAAAACUGGGGCAGCAGCAGGCGGAGAAGCUCACCCCAGCCCUGGCUACACCCAGUUGGAUCUGGACCUGGAGCUCCUGGGGAUAUGCCUGGCACUCACCCUCUGCCACACUCGCUCCUGGAAGUCACACAGGGUCACCUCAAGCACAAGUGGCGUCAGCUGCCUCCCAUAUGACCAGCUUGCACAUAGCCAC
rnacentral:lncRNA from 1 species